rnacentral:lncRNA from 10 species
UGAGUACCAAAGGUAUCCUGGGUAAUUAGCCAUUACGGUACUGUCACAGAGGGUUCCACAGUCAAUACAAAGAUAAUUUGGGCAAUGGUGAAUGACAGUGCUGUCCAGACUUUUGGGAUAAUCAAGGACACAUCCAGCUGUACCAGACAUCUGUCAGACCCAUGAAUCAUUUCAACUGACUCGACAAUAGCCAGGCAGCCCCAGUGAAGUUUCCCUGAGACUUUCUGUGAGGCCUGCAAUUUGUUUUGAGUUCCAGCUCCAACAUUCUCCAAGGGCCUAGCAAUCACCAUCACAUAUGGGUGGACAGGAAAGGGCAUACCCGAAAAACGAUACCAGCUGUGGAGCCAGCCAUGCUACACGUUUGCACCUUCUGGUCUACUCUAAGUAUUGCAUUUCCCACGUUCACUCCUGAAGGUAGUGAGACAGACCUGCAGUUCCCUCCAUUUGUAGCAGCUCUGACACUAUCAUGAGAAUCACCAGUGAUAUUCUGUAAAUGCCAGCCAAAAUCUAUCUGCAAGAACAUCUGCUCAACAGUGCAAAACUGAUGUAAUUACCAACCAUCAUCUUUUCUCCUCCUGCUGGGGUAACUGCUCCAAAGCAUGACUUUUUGCCCUGAGCUAACAAGAUCCAGAAACUCCCUGUUAUGUACAAAACCUGCUGCUGAAAACCCAUGUAGCUUCAACACAAAUUAUAACCCAGUCUCUCAACUACAAGAGAAACUAACACCCUUGUGCCAUAGGGUCUCGGAGAAUCUUGCUCAAAACCUUGUGAGUCCCAGACUUCAUCCUCCUCCCGCUACCUGUUUUUGUCUAAUAUAAACGGUCUUCAAAAGAAUAUGAUACAGAAAGGGAAGAUACAUCUAUCAUUCCAAUAACACUGUUUUCAAAGUACAAUUACUGAAAAGAAUAAUUAAAUGUCAAAUGUCUGAAUGGGAACUGAGGCGGAAAGAGAAAUGGAAAAAAAAAAUCUUUAUUGAGCAUCUGCUAUUUGCCAAGAGCUGUCCUGGACGCUUUGCGUAUGUUAUCUCAUUUAAUUGUGGUUUUACACAUUCUGAAAAUCAAGAAAUUCCCAUUUUGAAUCCAUUAAGUUGAGGACAGGCACUGAGGCUUCCCCAUCUGCCUCCUAAGGAUGUGGAGAAGUGUAACCAAUGACAAUGCGAAAAAAAGAAUUCUAAGUACUUAUUUUAAAUUAUGUUAAGGGAAUACGGGUGAAAGACCAUGUGAUUCAGAGCAUGACACUAACAAACUAUGGAGCAUCUGACAAGUUUCUUUUUUUUUUUUUCUUUUUUUUUUUUUUGAGACAGAGUCUUGCUCCAUCACCAGGCCGGAGUGUAGUGGUGCGAUCUCGGCUCACUGCAGCCUCUACUUCCUGGGUUCAAGCAAUUCUCCUGCCUCAGCCUCCCAAGUAGCUGGGACUACAGGCACGUACCACCACACCCAGCUAAUUUUUGUAUUUUUAGUAGAGACAGGGUUUCACCAUGUUGGUCAGGCUGGUCUCGAUCUCACGACCUUGUGAUCUGCCCACCUCGGCCUCCCAAAGUGCUGUGAUUACAGGCGUGAGCCACUGCGCCCAGCCACGUCUGAGAAGUUUCUUAAUGUGAGUCUCAGUUUCCACAACUACAACAUGAGGGAGUUGAAAUAGAUAAUUACUAACAUCUCUACCUGGUCUGAAAUGUCAUAAUUCAUUGAUUCUACAAAUCAAAUUUUAUUUCAAAACAUUUUUUGAAUUACAUACUAAUUUCUCUCAUUUUUGGUUCCUCUUAAAUUUAUGAUGAGGCUGAGAACAAACUAGAAGUGGGAAUUAGUCAUGAGACACUAACAAAUAGUUUUGUUGGCUUGUGUGAUGUUUUUAGUUUGGAUUUUUUGUUUUGUUUUGUUUUUGUUUUGAGAUGGAGUCUCGCUCUGUCGCCCAGGCUGGAGUGCAGUGGCACGAUCUCAGCUCACUGCAACCUCCACCUCCCAGGUUCCAGCGAUUCUCCUGCCUCAGCCUCCUGAGUAGCUGGGACUACAGGCACGUGCCACAACACCCGGCUAAUUUUUUGUAUUUUUAGUAGAGAUGGGGUUUCACCGUGUUAGCCAGGAUAGUCUCAAUCUCCUGACCUCGUGAUCUGCCCACCUCGGCCUCCCAAAGUGCUGGGAUUACAGGCGUGAGCCACCAUGCCCUGCCUGUUUGCGUUUUUAGGGGAAAAAAUUGGCACCAAACACAGAUAUUCAAUCAGGCUGAACCAAGAUAAUAAAGAGUAUUCUUAAUUCCAAGUAGAAUCAUGGCCAUUGUGCACAUAAAAUUUUUUGUAGUUAGGGAAUAAAACUACCAGAAAUACAGCCGCUGUCUGAUCUUCUUUGGGGAAAUUUUGUUUCUACUUUGUCAUAUGACAAUAAUGUUGGAGCUUGUGUGUGUGUGUUUGUUAUACAGAGGUAUUUGGUAUUAAUGGAUGGAACAUUGCCUUUUAAUCACAACUCAUCAUGAAAGAAAUCUCUGUCACUCUGCUUGGAUGUAUAAAGCCACUUUCUAGCUCAUAACACAUAAAAUCUCUAGAAAUCAAUGAACAAAUUCAUGAAAGAUUUGCCAAGUUUACCUUUUGUGUCCCAGCACUUUCUCAGGCACUUAAAUGAUCAGCGAGAAAUCUAAAAGUAAUGCAAAUAGCUUGACC